CUUCCGUAGGGUGAACCUGCGGAAGGAUCAUUACCGAGUGAGGGCCCUCUGGGUCCAACCUCCCACCCGUGUCUAUCGUACCUUGUUGCUUCGGCGGGCCCGCCGUUUCGACGGCCGCCGGGGAGGCCUUGCGCCCCCGGGCCCGCGCCCGCCGAAGACCCCAACAUGAACGCUGUUCUGAAAGUAUGCAGUCUGAGUUGAUUAUCGUAAUCAGUUAAAACUUUCAACAACGGAUCUCUUGGUUCCGGCAUCGAUGAAGAACGCAGCGAAAUGCGAUAAGUAAUGUGAAUUGCAGAAUUCAGUGAAUCAUCGAGUCUUUGAACGCACAUUGCGCCCCCUGGUAUUCCGGGGGGCAUGCCUGUCCGAGCGUCAUUGCUGCCCUCAAGCACGGCUUGUGUGUUGGGCCCCCGUCCCCCUCUCCCGGGGGACGGGCCCGAAAGGCAGCGGCGGCACCGCGUCCGGUCCUCGAGCGUAUGGGGCUUUGUCACCUGCUCUGUAGGCCCGGCCGGCGCCAGCCGACACCCAACUUUAUUUUUCUAAGGUUGACCUCGGAUCAGGUAGGGAUACCCGCUGAACUUAAGCAUAUCAAUAAGCCGGAGGGAUCAUUACCGAGUGAGGGCCCUCUGGGUCCAACCU
rnacentral:rRNA from 1 species